rnacentral:rRNA from 1 species
AUGGUGUGGACUUUCGGCGCUGGACAAGGAAACGGCGGCCGCCUAGGCGGUGGAACCGCUGGUUUCGGCGCCGGCGCUGGCCCGUUCGCCGGCAACUUCGGCAGCGGCAGGGAUAAUGCCGGCCAGAUCGUGUUUGGUGACGGGAGCGGAUUCGGUGGCCGUGGCGGUGGCGGUGGCCCCAGGUUCAGCCAGCAAGCCGGCUCCCCUGCUCACCUGGCGGCCGCACUUUCUUCUGGUAUCGUGGCCGGCGGCGGAUCUCAAGGCGGACAAAUUACUGUCGAGAAGGUCCCGGGCUUUCGUAUGCGCGUUGAUUCAGAUGAUGAUGAAAUGUCCGACCACGAUUGGCCAGCCUCUUGGUUUCGGGUGGUAGAGCGGCCCAUCAAGAAGCAAAAACAUGAAGAAAAACCAUCUCUCUUCAGCUUUCAGAAGCAGCGGGAUUGCCCGGACUCUUGGUCCAAACUUCCCUCGAAUAAGAAGAAGAAGAAGAAGAAGAAGCAGCAGCAAAAACAUGAAGAACCAUACACCCUGAGCUUGGAUGAGCUGCAGGAGUUUAUAGCGACCUGGAGGGAGCCGUGCCUUCAACAUCCAGUUGACAGGAUCCUGGAAUCCAUGCUAAAGACCUAUGACUGUGACACGGUAACCCCAGAACAAAUGAACAGAGUGAAAACAAUAUUCACGCAAUACCCUUCCAUUGGCUUGCUCAAUGCUGCUGUUAGAUUAAUCGGAGCUCCUUUAUGUCCGUCAUUAGAACUUGACGUUCCUGAAGGCACGGAUCAUAAACCUGGAUGCAGUAAUGAGGGCAGCAAUAAACCUCGAGACAGUGUUCCAAUUGAUGAUGUCAUCAAAAGAACAAUUGCAUAUUUUGAAUCCAACAUUGGAGUAAGUGAAGGAUCUUUGCAACUGAAGAAUAUUUUCUCUCUGAAGAAACUUCAUGAAUGUGAAUCAUGGGUAACGAGCCAUUUUUCAGCCCAUCAAUUUAGUGCUCUUGGCCAUGGGUCUUUCCUUGAGUUUUUGGAUAGACAUGUUCAUCAUUUCCCCCCUAACUGGAGUGGUUUCUUAAAUGGGGAGCUUUCUAGUUCUUCCUCUCUGGAAGUUUGUGUAAUGCAUGAACAAAUUGAAGUUUUACUCUGUCAAGCUGAGAGUAACUGGCUGGAAAAUGGUGAAUUUUCAGUGGAUAGUCUCCUUAUGCUUCUGAAAACGCAGUUUCCAACAAUCACUGUUGAUAUAGUGCAAAACAAAUUAGGAGGACUCAUUGGCACUGUUGAGGCUCAAAGAAAGAGCAUGCAAACAAACACCAUAAAGUUCUCCAUUGCACUGUUGCAGAAACGCUGGUCUGGGAUUUUGCUAGGUAAUGGUGAUGUGUUGGGGAAUGAUAUUGCUCCACAAUCUUAUCCUAGUUCAGUUUCUUCACAAGAAGCAAUUAAGUGCUUACUCAAGGCUCCCUUCUUGUCUGAUCUUCUUCUUUGGUCAAAUUGGGAUAUGCUGUUUGCUCCUUCACUGGGCUCCUUAAUACAUUGGUUGGUAAAUACAGGUCCAAUUCAAGAUUUGUCAUGCAUUGUGACCAGAGAUGGCAGGUUCGUUAGAAUAGAUCCAUCAGUCACUGUUGAGCAUUUUCUAGAAGCUGUCAUUCAGCAAUCACCGUUUCAAGUGGCAGUGAAGCUGCUAUCCUUGCUACACAUUUACAAUGGUUCUAGCAAUGCUCCAAUUUCGUUACUGAAGUGUUAUGCACAACGAGCAAUAGAUGCUAUAAUGAAUAGCAACAUCGAUUUGACCAGCACUGGUUCUGAAGGGGGGACAAAUAUGUACGAGGAAGUGCAUACACAAAUUGCUGAACAGCAUAGCUUUUCUUCUCACUAUAUUGGUCGUAUUCAAGGAAAUCCUGCGAACACUUGUGUAAGAAAGAUUACGUCUAAAAGCUUAUUAAACAUUGACCACACUCUUCAGUUGAUCGCGAAAUUUAUACUAGACUGUCUUGGCCAUCUACCUUCUGAAUUCUGGAGUCUGGCAGCAGAUAUACUAUUGUCAGGACUUCGGACUGUUACUAAGAAUUGCUAUUCAUCCAUCUUGCAUGCAUGCAAUGAAACUUGGCAGCUUUGCAUGCUUCGCAACAUUGGAUCAUCACUUGGAAUCGCCGAAUGGGUUGAAGAUUGUCCCACAACAUGUUGGACUGAAGAUGCUUAUGGAAACAGAGAAACUAAUUCAUCUUCUUGUCAUGCAUCGGCUGUUUCUGGAGGUCAUCCACAUAAAAAUACUAACAUGCUUACUACCACAGAUGAUAACAUGGUAGUAGUAAAUAAGAGAAGUAAAUCGUCUUCUAGAUUGGAGGCUAUAGAUGAUGAAAAUAUGCAAGUGUUAGAUCAUGAUGGAAGCAAGGCAGAUAUGGCCGAAUUACUAGCUACUAACAAGCCCCCAGCGAUUGAAGAAAUAAAUCUUGAGAAAGCAGCUGUUAUUAUUGAAACUAUACGUCAAGAGGAGUUUGGUUUGGAUCAGACACUAAGUUAUACUGAUAGCAGCUUGCUGAAAAAGCAGCAUGCUCGACUUGGCAGAGCCCUUCAUUGUCUCUCACAAGAGCUAUAUUCUCAGGACUCUCACAUAAUCCUUGAGCUAAUACAGAAUGCUGAUGACAAUACUUAUCUCAAGGAUGUCGAACCAACAUUAGCAUUUGUUCUUCAGGAUGAUGGAAUUGUUGUUCUUAAUAACGAGACGGGCUUUUCUGCUGAUAACAUUAGAGCGUUGUGUGACAUUGGUAAUUCUACAAAGAAAGGGUCAAACAUGGGGUAUAUUGGAAAUAAAGGCAUUGGAUUCAAGUCAGUAUUUCGGGUAAUUGAUGCUCCAGAGAUCCAUUCAAAUGGUUUUCAUGUGAAAUUCGACAUUACAGAAGGCCAGAUUGGUUUUAUCUUGCCGACUGCAAUUCCACCUUUUGAUACUAAUCCUUUGAGUAGAAUAUUAUCUCCUGAAGACAGCUACGAUGCAUGCUCCUCCUGGAAAACUUGUAUUUUGCUCCCUUUCAGGUCAAACUUCAGGGAGGGCACUGGUAUGUGCUCCGUCGUGUCCAUGUUUUCAGAUCUUGACCCAUCUCUGCUCUUGUUCCUUCACAGGCUAAAAUGCAUCAAAUUCAAAAAUAUGCUCAGUGAGAAAUUUCUAAUAACGAGAAGAAAAUCUCUUGCCGAUGGCAUUGUGAAAAUCUCACGUGGGAAUGAGACAGUGAGCUGGUUGGUAGUUACUAAGAAAUUACAGGGCUCGCUUGUUCGUCAUGAUGUCUGUAGCACAGAGAUAGCUAUGGCAUUUUCUUUGCAGGAGACAGAGGAUGGAGAAUAUGAACCUUAUUUAAAGCAACAACCUGUGUUUGCUUUCCUUCCUCUAAGGAACUACGGUCUUAAAUUCAUUCUUCAAGGAGAUUUUGUCUUGCCUUCUUCUAGAGAAGAAGUGGACACAGAUAGCGCAUGGAACCAGUGGUUGCUGUCUGAAUUCCCAUCUUUAUUUGUUAGCACGCAAGAAUCUUUUUGUGCUCUGCCUUGCUUCCGAAAGUGCCCUGGAAAAGCUGUUACAGCCUUGAUGAGUUUUGUGCCUCUACCGGGAGAAGUUCAUUGGUUCUUUUCUCAGCUCCCUCAUUUGAUCCUUUCCAAGUUGCGCCUGACCUGCUGCAUGGUUUUGGAGGGCUCCAGUUUGCAGUGGGUCCACCCAUGCAACACACUAAGGGGUUGGGAUGAACAGGCUAGAAAGAUAUUGCCUGAUACCAUACUCCGUGAACAUCUUCACCUUGGAUAUUUGUCAAAAGAUGUUACUGUAUCCGAUACAUUAUCAAGGGCCUUAGGUAUACAUGAGUAUGGACCGAAAGUUUUGACUGAUGUUAUGUCAUCUAUUUGCCAAACUGAUGGUUGCAUUGAGUCACUGGGACUGGAAUGGCUAUGUGCUUGGUUUGUUACACUUCAUUCGGCGUUGCUGUCUCAAUCUUCUCAGGAUCUUCCCUUUAGAACAAAUUUUGAAAGUGACACUUUAUGUUCUCUCAGGAAAAUGCAAUGCAUCCCACUUUCAGAUGGUUCAUUUAGCUGUAUAGCAGAUGGCCCAAUAUGGUUGAAUUGUGAUCUUCUCGACUCUCCGCCCGGAUCCAAAAUCAGCAUGCAGAGCUUCCCAGUUCUGUACAGUAGCCUUCGCAUUGUGAGCCCACACAUCCUCUCCAUGUCCUGCAAAAAUAGUUACAUUGUCGAAGAGACAAGAACAAAUGACCUUAUAGAUAUUUUAUUGAAAGUUGGUGUGCUGAAGUUGUCUGGACAUGACAUUAUAAAAAAUCACAUCCUGGUGUCAUUGUCUAAUGCUACAGAUGCUAAUCCAGAAGAGAAAAUGAUGACAGAGUAUAUGAGUUUUAUCAUGCUACAUCUUCGGGCCCCCUGUAUAAGCUGCAACCCAGAGAAAGAAGAGAUUGUCUCAGAAUUACGCAAGAUGCCUGUCUUACUUACGAAUAAUGGCUAUAAGUGCCCAGCUGAUGUACCCAUUCACUUCAGUAAACAUUAUGGAAAUUCUGUGGACAUAGGCAAGCUCCUUCAGAAUGUAGAUAUGGCAUGGAUUGAACUUGACACUUGUUAUUUGACACAUCAUAGUUCCGCUUCAUUGCAAUUCAAUUUGCAAAGUUGGAGGCAAUUUUUCGAGCAGUUAGGCGUGACUGAUUUUGUUCAGGUAAUGGAAGUUGAGAAAAAUAUAUUUGAGGCUGAUGACUUUCAAAAUGGUACUCCCUUCCAAGGUGGCAUACCUGAAACACCUUAUAUUGUGUAUGACUGGGAGUCACCAGAAUUGACGACUAUGUUAUCAAUACUCACCUCAAAGAAUUUGCGAGAAAAUUGUAUAUAUCUUCUGAAGGUUCUAGACAAAUACUGGAAUGAUUGUUAUAGUACAAAAUCUAGGAGUCUCACAAAUGCAACAGAUUGUGGUGAAAAGAGAAAAGUUGACUCUUCCUUUAUGAAGUGUCUGCGAAACUUCAAGUGGAUAGCAUCGAGUAUGGAUGAGGACCUUCAUUACGCAAGAGAUCUAUUUUGUGAUUUUAAAAAUGUGCGCUCUCUUCUUGGUAGCGUCGCCCCAUAUGCUAAACCACUGUUAUCAAGCACAUUACUUAGGAAGGAUAUUGGAUUCAAGACAACAGUAUCCCACAGUGACGCUUUAUUGAUCCUCAAUCAUUGGAUAGCAUCACAAACUAAUUUUAGUGCAAGAAUGGACCAGAUGUGCAAAUUCUACACCUUCAUGUCAGAAGGUGCUGCUAGUGGAGAGAUCAACAUUAAACGCGAUUUCCUACCACUCUGCUCUAUAUUUACACCACUGCAUGGUUCACCAUCAACUGAUUCUGUAACCGGGAGAUUUAUGUCUUCAAAUGAUUUGUAUUGGCAUGACCCAACAGGCUGUUGUGAAAAGAUAUAUGCAUCCAUUUUAAUGAAGGGGAAUAUGUUUCCGAGAAAGAUGUUGUCUGUGGCUUAUCCAAGCCUCCAUGAAUUCUUUACUGAGACAUGUGGUGUUCCAAAGAUACCAACGACAUCUGAGUACCUUGAGGUACUGCUUCGGUUAUCAAGUGUUGCAGUGCCUUCACAAGUAGCCAAUCAUGUGUUUCGUGUAUUUGUGAGAUGGGCUAAUGAUCUCCAUUCUAGAAGUUAUAAGAUGGACGAUAUCUUGUUCUUGAAAGAAUCUCUUCAGAAGUUGGAAACAACGGUAUUGCCAACCCUGGGUUGCACAUGGGUGUCCCUCCAUCCAUCUUUUGGUCUUGUUUGCUGGGCAGAUGACGAUGAGCUGAAGCAGCAAUUUCAGAACACUCGUGAGGUCGAAUUUAUACAAUUUGGUGUACUUUCUCUUGACGACAAACAAAAACUCGAUGGGAGGGUUGCUGCAUUGAUGAACAUUAUAGGUAUUCCGGCACUUUCUAAGGUUGUGUACCGUGAACCAACGCAUUCUGGUACAGGGAACAACAGAGGAAAGGCUAGUUUACUUAAUUGGCUUUUACCAUAUAUGCAACGUUACAUCUACAAGAUGCAUGGAGAUACUUACAAUAAAUUUCAGCAAAAUGAGGCCACGAAGCUUAGCAGUCUUGAAGUUAUUGUUGUUGAGAAGUUAUCCUACAAGUAUAUGCUGAAAGGACGUGAUAGUUCUUGUGAGGGAAGAUUUGAAUGCUCUUGUCUUUUACAGGGAAACAUUUUAUAUGCUACUCAAGAAGCUGAUUCACAUUCGAUUCUUCUGGAAAUUUCUAAACUUUUCUUUGAUGGAUCUGUUGAUCUACACUUCGCAAAUUUUCUUCACAUGGUCAAAACCAUGUCAGAAUCUGGCUCCGCAGUGGAACAAAUUGAGUUUUUUAUUGUCAAUAAUCAGAAGGUGCCUCCGUUGCCUGAACAGGAACCUGCUUGGUCCUUUUCUUCAUCGUUUGUCGCCGAGGAAAUAUUUAGUCCCCCAACAGCUGAACUCCAACCUCCGGAUGAACCCAGACGCCCCCUCAAGCGUAAGAAGAACCCAGGAAUCAUUGAAAGCCACCCACCAAAUAAUCCUGAAACAGCACCUGAUCUUGAAACCUCUUACAUAAGCCAGGAAGAGAUAAAGGUGAAUGAUAUUGCAUCUUCAUCAGAGCUUAGCAAGCCUGUCGUGUGUGGACCCAUGGAAGAUACUUCGGUUCCCAUCAAGAUUGAAGGGGAUCAUGCCGUGAAAGAGAAUCCAACAACAGAACAUAUACUAGGCAUACAGAGUACGAUGGAAGUUGAUGAUGAGCCUGCUUGUUUGGACUUGGAAGCAGGAAGCUCACCAAGUCUGAUUGAUGAAACUGAGCUAACCGACGUUGAUGAGAAACUUGCUGAUGUUGCAGAAGAUGGAAGCGGGUCAGGAGCUGGCACGCCUGGGAAAGCCACAGUUCACAAGCCAGACGAGCGGUCAAGAACCGGCAGGCUUGGUGAAGCUGCGGUACACCAAUACCUUGCCGGGCAGCUGGGACCUAGCAAUGUCAAGUGGGUGAAUGAAGAGAAGGAAUCUGGGCUUCCCUAUGACAUUGUCAUCACGCCCGAGGGUGGCGCGGCAGAGUAUGUGGAGGUGAAGGCGACCGUGACUUCAAACAAGGACUGGUUCCACAUCACACCCAAUGAAUGGCAAUUCGCGCUGGAGAAAGGGGAUUCGUUCAGCAUCGCCCAUGUCGUGCUGAAAGGCUCAGACAAAGCGAAUAUAAUGAUGAUGAAGAAUCCACAGAAGCUCUGCCACCAGAAGGUCGACGAUUUGAAUUUUGCUCUUGUUAUGUCGAAAAAAUAUAGAAAACUCAACCAAAUCUCAGUUUCGCUGAAGUCCGACUCGAAAUCGCCGACCCCCGAUGAAUCUGCAUCUUGA